GAAGGUAUAGCUCAGUGGUAGAGCACAUGCUUAGCAUGUGCAAGGUCCUGGGUUCAAUCCCCAAUACCUCUG
rnacentral:tRNA from 1 species